GGGGUUGUAGCUCAGUGGUAGAGCACUUGCCUAGUACAUGUGAGGCCCUGGGUUCAAUCCUCAGCACCACCU
rnacentral:tRNA from 1 species